rnacentral:tRNA from 1 species
GGGGAUAUAGCUCAGUCGGGAGAGCGCUUGCUUCGCAUGUAAGAGGUCAGGGGUUCGAAUCCCCUUAUCUCCACCA